UACGUAGGGUGCAGGCGUUAAUCGGAAUUACUGGGCGUAAAGCGUGCGCAGGCGGUUUCUUAAGUCAGAUGUGAAAGCCCCGGGCUUAACCUGGGAACUGCGUUUGAAACUGGGAGACUUGAGUGUGGCAGAGGGGGGUGGAAUUCCACGUGUAGCAGUGAAAUGCGUAGAUAUGUGGGGGAACACCGAUGGCGAAGGCAGCCCCCUGGGUUAACACUGACGCUCAUGCACGAAAGCGUGGGGAGCAAACAGG
rnacentral:rRNA from 1 species